rnacentral:rRNA from 1 species
UACGGAGGGUGCUAGCGUUGUUCGGAAUCACUGGGCUUAAAGGGCGCGUAGGCGGGUGGUCAAGUCGGUGGUGAAAGCCUCCAGCUUAACUGGAGAAGUGCCGCCGAUACUGACUGUCUCGAGGGAGGUAGGGGCAUGUGGAACUCAGGGUGGAGCGGUGAAAUGCGUAGAUAUCCUGAGGAACGCCGGUGGCGAAAGCGACGUGCUGGACCUCUUCUGACGCUGAGGCGCGAAAGCCAGGGGAGCAAACGGG